rnacentral:rRNA from 1 species
CCUACGGGUGGCUGCAGUGGGGAAUAUUGGACAAUGGGGGGAACCCUGAUCCAGCCAUGCCGCGUGUGUGAAGAAGGCCCUCGGGUUGUAAAGCACUUUCAGUGAGGAAGAACGCCUGGUGGUUAAUACCCAUCAGGAAAGACAUCACUCACAGAAGAAGCACCGGCUAACUCCGUGCCAGCAGCCGCGGUAAUACGGAGGGUGCGAGCGUUAAUCGGAAUUACUGGGCGUAAAGCGCGCGUAGGUGGCUUGAUAAGCCGGUUGUGAAAGCCCCGGGCUCAACCUGGGAACGGCAUCCGGAACUGUCAAGCUAGAGUGCGGGAGAGGAAGGUAGAAUUCCCGGUGUAGCGGUGAAAUGCGUAGAGAUCGGGAGGAAUACCAGUGGCGAAGGCGGCCUUCUGGACUGACACUGACACUGAGGUGCGAAAGCGUGGGUAGCAAACAGGAUUAGAUACCCUUGUAGUC